GUGACCCUCAUUUUUUAUAAUGUUAAAUGAAGAAUGUUCUAAUUUGAUUUCUUUUUCAAAAAGACGCUGUUAUUGCUGGUGUAUCAGGUGGAGUUGCUUGAUUUUUGGUCUUAUGCGGAUUGAUCGUUUAUUGUUGCAUCUGUUGUCGUCAAAGAAAAAGACGAAGCGGUAGAUACUGUUGUGCAUGUCUAACAAAUAGACCGGGAAACAUAAGUAAGUCUGACUGUUUUCAUAAAAUGAAGAGCGAAUAUAGUUACCAAAGGCACAAGG
rnacentral:lncRNA from 1 species